AUUGAACGCUGGCGGCAGGCCUAACACAUGCAAGUCGAGCGGUUGAAGGGUGCUUGCUCCUGGAUUCAGCGGCGGACGGGUGUGUAAUGCCUAUGAAUCUGCCUUGUAGUGGUGUAUAACGUCCUGUAACGGGCUCUAAUACCGCAUACGUCCUUAGGGUGAAAUUGUGUGAUCUUCGUACCUCUCGCUAUCUUUUGUGCCUAGGUCGGAUUUGCUAGUUGGUGGGGUAAAGGCCUACCAAGGCGACUAUCCGUAACUGGUCUGAGAGGAUGAUCAGUCACACUGGAACUGAGACAGGGACCAGACUACUACGGGAGGCAGCAGUGGGGAAUAUGGGACAAUGGGCGAAAGCAUGAUACAGGAAAGCCGAGUGUGUGAAGAAGGACUUCGGAUUGUAAAGAAGUUUAAGUUGGGAGGAAGGGAAGUAAGUUAAUACCUUGCUGUAUUGACGUUACCAACAGAAGAAGCACCGGCUAACUACGUG
rnacentral:rRNA from 1 species